CUCGUAGUCAAAAGCAAAAGACUUCGGAUUGCGGAGUGGCUACAGACAUUGAAAUCUUCAGAUAUCCUUGAGUUUCUCUUUUAGCAGAGAGACAGAUUUUACUACAUCAUCAUAGAGGAGAGGACUGGCAGUGAUUCCAACCUCAGGCACAGAAAGUACUGGCAUGACAAACCCUCCACGUAAACUCUUCAGACAAACAAAGGGAAACAACAAAAUCAUCAAAUAAAUACAAAUGAAGACACACCAUCCUGUUUUUCUCAGGCUCCGCUACCUGCAGAAAUCCUCAAGUUUCUUUUUUAGCAGAAGGACAGAUUUUCCCACAUCAUCAUAUAAGAGGUCUUCAAUCUCCUGCUCCAGUUGUUUCAAGAGUCCUUCAACUCGACUCACAGCAGCAUGUUCCUGAUCUCUGAUCAGCUGUGUCACCUCAGAGCGGCUUCUCUCAAUGGAGCGGAUCAGUUCAGUAAAGAUCCUCUCACU